rnacentral:misc_RNA from 1 species
GACUUCUCGACGGCCAUUUUGGAGAGGAAGAAGUCGCCGAAUCGACUGAUCGUUGACGAGGCUAUUAACGAUGACAACUCGGUCGUUUCGAUGCAUCCGGAAACCAUGGAGAAACUCCAGCUUUUCCGCGGUGAUACCAUUCUCGUUAAGGGCAAGAAACGGAAAGAUACAAUCUGCAUUGCUCUUGCUGAUGACACCUGUGA